GCCAGACUCCUACGGGAGGCAGCAGUGGGGGAUAUUGCACAAUGGGGGAAACCCUGAUGCAGCGACGCCGCGUGGGUGAAGAAGCGCCUCGGCGCGUAAAGCCCUGUCAGCAGGGAAGAAAAUGACGGUACCUGAAGAAGAAGCCCCGGCUAACUACGUGCCAGCAGUCGCGGUAAUACGUAGGGGGCAAGCGUUAUCCGGAUUUACUGGGUGUAAAGGGAGCGUAGACGGUGAUGCAAGUCAGAAGUGAAAGCCCGGGGCUCAACUCCGGGACUGCUUUUGAAACUGUGUAACUGGAGUGCAGGAGAGGUGAGCGGAAUUCCUGGUGUAGCGGUGAAAUGCGUAGAUAUCAGGAGGAACACCAGUGGCGAAGGCGGCUUACUGGACUGUAACUGACGUUGAGGCUCGAAAGCGUGGGGAGCAAACAGGAUUAGAUACCCCAGUAUCC
rnacentral:rRNA from 1 species